AACUAAUAAGCUUUAAGAAGCACAUGUUUUGAAAGCAUGAGAUAAAGGCGACCUUUAUUAGUUU
rnacentral:tRNA from 1 species